rnacentral:rRNA from 1 species
UGGGGAAUAUUGCACAAUGGGCGCAAGCCUGAUGCAGCCAUGCCGCGUGUAUGAAGAAGGCCUUCGGGUUGUAAAGUACUUUCAGCGAGGAGGAAGGCGUUGUGGUUAAUAACCGCAACGAUUGACGUUACUCGCAGAAGAAGCACCGGCUAACUCCGUGCCAGCAGCCGCGGUAAUACGGAGGGUGCAAGCGUUAAUCGGAAUUACUGGGCGUAAAGCGCACGCAGGCGGUCUGUCAAGUCGGAUGUGAAAUCCCCGGGCUCAACCUGGGAACUGCAUCCGAAACUGGCAGGCUAGAGUCUUGUAGAGGGGGGUAGAAUUCCAGGUGUAGCGGUGAAAUGCGUAGAGAUCUGGAGGAAUACCGGUGGCGAAGGCGGCCCCCUGGGCAAAGACUGACGCUCAGGUGCGAAAGCGUGGGGAGCAAACA